CCUACGGGUGGCAGCAGUGGGGAAUAUUGGACAAUGGGCGAAAGCCUGAUCCAGCCAUGCCGCGUGUGUGAAGAAGGCCUUCGGGUUGUAAAGCACUUUCAGUGGGGAAGAAAGCCUUGGGGCUAAUACCCUCGAGGAAGGACAUCACCCACAGAAGAAGCACCGGCUAACUCCGUGCCAGCAGCCGCGGUAAUACGGAGGGUGCGAGCGUUAAUCGGAAUUACUGGGCGUAAAGCGCGCGUAGGCGGUCUGAUAAGCCGGGUGUGAAAGCCCCGGGCUCAACCUGGGAACGGCAUCCGGAACUGUCAGGCUAGAGUGCAGGAGAGGAAGGUAGAAUUCCCGGUGUAGCGGUGAAAUGCGUAGAGAUCGGGAGGAAUACCAGUGGCGAAGGCGGCCUUCUGGACUGACACUGACGCUGAGGUGCGAAAGCGUGGGUAGCAAACAGGAUUAGAUACCCGAGUAGUC
rnacentral:rRNA from 1 species